CCCCCCGACCCAAACCAGAGUAUUAUUCUAUCCCGAGAUUCCGCUUUUUCUGUCGCUUCCCUCGUCGAACAAACAAACCCGUGCUUGUCGACACUGUGCAACGGGUAGAUUUGUGCGCGGCGUACGGUAAAUAAAAAAGCACCGUGGUAAACUUCUCAAGUGGAAACACAGCGCUCGCCGACACUGACACUGACGGAUUGACCGUCAGCUGAAUCCCAUUAGCGUGAAGCCAGAGCUUGAGUGAAAUGUCGAACUCCAGUAUGCUGCAAUUUUUCCAAGUCAGAUUCCGUAUAGAACGGUGCACUUGGUCGUAUUUCCAGUGAAAUAUCCUUCAUUCCAGAGGGGAACUGCGUAGCAUUGUACAGUAGCAAAAUAUUUAUUCCGUCUUGCGCACAUGAUGGUAGGCAGGCAUGGCACGGUUCUCAACCUGAAAUAACUUAUCCACCGGAGCACUACUUACAGUAGCUAACCAACAGUUUUGUUAUCUGCUGCAUUAGUUGGUCCCUCCCUCCAUCUCUUCAUUCAAUUUCAAACCCCUUGUACUUUUGAACCGGAGGAUAUCCAUGAUCAAUUCAAAGCCCAGCCGUUCUCCUUAAUCUUUGACACGGCCACACGGGAGGCCCGCUGCCCCCUCUGUCUCUGUCUGUCUCCUCCUUCAGUAUUUUUUUUUUGCGAAUAUGUCUCCUCCUUCAGUUAAUGGCGUGCGUCGGUGCAUCGGUGCGUCCAAACUCUGUCUCGGACUUUUCAUGUCAGCAUUCAAUGCUAGAGCACCAACUGGUGGCACUCAUGCAUUCAGUGAGGUCUACUCCAGUCUUCAUUAUUGAUGGAGAUAAUAUUAUUGUUCACAACUUCAGAUACUCACAACCUUUAUGUGCCGACAAAUCAUGUGAUGGAUCAAUCUGUCCUGUUAUCUGAAAUCCAACGGCUGAGGAUGUGAGUCUGUUACCAAAGGCAUACUUUUUUUUCUAACAUAGGGAACUUUUGCACAUACUAAGAAUACUAGGCCCGUAUGGGUUCGAUUUUUCUGGUUUUUUCGAUUUUUUUUACUCCUACUGACUGAGCGACACGUGUGCACGGUGGCUUUCCUAAAGUGGUUGAUCACUUGGGUUGUGCCUGUUUCUUCUAGAGGUGCAUGGGCUUCUCUUGUCUCAUGUGUACCAUGUGAAAAGAUGGUUUGAUAGCAUGGGCUGAUUUUGUCUCAUGUGAGAAAAAUAUAUUAGCUGCAUGGGCUGUUGUAUGGGCUGGUGUGCGUGUGCUGCUGCAUGGCUCAUGCAUGCAUGCAUGUGUCCACGUUUGCAUGUUUGUAGUUUCACGUUUGCACACAUUUGUGUUCUAGGUCCUUCUUUGCUUGCCUAUAAGUAGCUUCUUUUUGUGUUCUUCUCUCCUGUGUACUUCUUGUUUGCUUGGUCUCUGUUAUGGUUCUUGUUGUUGCACAUGGUUCUCAGCGCGUUCCUUCGACGUCCUUGGGCUCUUCUUCUUCCGUUGGUGCUUCUGAUGGGAGGUUGGCUGUUGAGGGUGGUUCUAAUCUUGGUUCGAGGGUUGAUGAGGCGUGGCGGCGACACGAGGAACGACCGCCAUGGGAAAUGACAUGUAUAUUCAUCGUUUGGUCCUCUGAUUUCUCCAUCUUAUUUGGAUCCAGACAAAGCUCACUCUUGCCGGCAGGAAGGUGUCCUGUUUACUUCAUGAUGGUGGACGUGCUAUGUAUUGUUUAUUUAACUUUCUGUUUGGUUUGUCAUUUAUUCCUUUUUUGUUCUUUUACACUUACGUCGAUGGCAUGUCUCUUGAUUUGCCUCCAAUUUUAUGAUAUCCUUGACAAGAAGCUAAAUGAAGAGGGCCUAAAGCUAAGGUAUAUUUUGGUUUCACUUUAGAAGCAAAAUAAUAAUAGUUUUGUAGUCUCCCAAAUACUUUGUCCAUGAGAAUCAGUGAUCUUGAUUUACAUUGUUGUUCUAA